ensembl:lncRNA
AAUGCCUAUCCUGUUGGGGUAUCACCCUUGGGACCCUCCUCCCCCUUCCCCCUGUGACAGCCUCUCUGUUGCCUGCUGUCAGCUACACAACACACUGCAGGUAUGGGAGACAGAACAGUACACUACAGAACACACUGCAGGUAUGAGAGACAGGGCAGUACACUACACAACACACUGCAGGUAUGAGAGACAGGGCAGUACACUACACAACACACUGCAGGUAUGAGAGACAGGGCAGUACACUACACAACACCCCGCAUUUAUGAGAGACAGGUAUGGGAGACAGAACAGUACAGAACAGAAACACUUCAAAUACAUUUUGCACUUGCUUUGCCCCUGAAACUAGGCCAAAGUUAUUGUAUAUUAGGGGGUUCCUAACUUGUAAAUAUGCUCUAUUAAUUUAAGGAGAUACGUGUUUACAGAUUGAAGGCAAUCUCUUAAUUAUCAUUUAAUCACAGAUACCUUAAAUGUAAAGUUCAAGGUUUAUUUCAAGGACCUACUCAAAGGUUUUUGUUGACUAGGCAUAGCCUACGUAGUGUGACCCUUUUUGUAUAUACAAACAUAAGCAUGAACACAGGAGUAUUGUUGGAAAUGUAUGUAUUAUAAAUGCACGCUUUCGAAAGCACAACACAUGCCAGCUAUAUUGCCAAAAGACACCAGAUAGCAAGUUAGCGAGCUUUUAGCAGUGCCAACUCGACUGUGGUGGUAUUUGCAGGGGUUUGUAUGUGUUUUAAGUAGUUAACUAACUAGUUUUACACCAAAAGUCCUGACUGCCGCUUUAAAAAGAGCAAUGUGUCUUGCUUAUGGAAACAAUUAAAAUAGGAACUGUGAACUAGUGAUAAGAAUGCAGUCACUUUGAGAGACAAAAACACACAAGUGAUUAUACAUUUACAUUUACAUUUAGUCAUUUAGCAGACGCUUUUGUCCAAAGCGACGUACAAGGGAGAGAACAGUCAAGCUAAGAGCAAUAAAAAGCAUGGUGUAACAAUAAAUACUACUUUACAUGAGAAUUAGAAAACAACGACCUAGAAAAAAGGAAAAAGAAGUGCAGGAAUGUAACUGCUGAAGUGCAAGUUAAGCGCUAGUCAGGUGCCAGUUAGGAAGGGAGGUGCUCUCUGAAGAGUUGGGUCUUCAAAAGCUUCUUGAAGGUAGAGAGGGACGCCCCUGCUCUGGUAGUACUAGGCAGUUCGUUCCACCAACGUGGAACUACAAAUGAAAAUAGUCUGGAUUGCCGUGCUUGCACAGACAGCAGUGCCAAACGACGCUCACUAGACGAGCGCAGCGUCCUGGGUGUAACAUUUGCCCUUACAAGAGCAUUUAGGUAGGUGGGAGCAGAACCAGCAAGCACUCUGUAGGCACAUUUUGAUCACUGCAUAUUAUACAUUCAGGAAUAUUGUACGGUAUGUCAUUUUUGAAAAUGAAGGUGAAGAAGAAGCUGUUAUUAAGGGGCCCAUUUCCCCUGUUUAGGAGACAAAUGGAGUCUUUUUGCUCCUUUCAAAACUUUCAUCUGUGCACAAAUCUACUUCAGUUUCGCACAGUAUUAUUAUGAAGGAUAAUUUAAAGUGUAAAUUAGGGGGUUCUGUAUUGAAGUGGUAAGGAC